rnacentral:rRNA from 1 species
AUUGAACGCUGGCGGCAGGCCUAACACAUGCAAGUCGAGCGGUAACAGGGGGAGCUUGCUCCCUGCUGACGAGCGGCGGACGGGUGAGUAACGCGUGGGAAUCUAACCAGUAGCGGGGGAUAGCCCGGGGAAACUCGGAUUAAUACCGCAUACGCCCUAAGGGGGAAAGCAGGGGAUCUUCGGACCUUGCACUAUUGGAAGAGCCCGCGUCGGAUUAGCUAGUUGGUGGGGUAAAGGCCUACCAAGGCGACGAUCCGUAGCUGGUCUGAGAGGAUGAUCAGCCACACUGGAACUGAGACACGGUCCAGACUCCUACGGGAGGCAGCAGUGGGGAAUAUUGCGCAAUGGGCGAAAGCCUGACGCAGCCAUGCCGCGUGUGUGAAGAAGGCCUUAGGGUUGUAAAGCACUUUCAGUAGGGAGGAAAGGUGUAAGGUUAAUACCCUUGCGCUGUGACGUUACCUACAGAAGAAGCACCGGCUAACUCCGUGCCAGCAGCCGCGGU